rnacentral:rRNA from 1 species
GACGAACGCUGGCGGCGUGCUUAACACAUGCAAGUCGAGCGAGGCCCUUCCUUCGGGAAGGUGUCCUAGCGGCGAACGGGUGAGUAACACGUGGGCAACCUGCCCUCAGCUCUGGGAUAACUCCGGGAAACCGGGGCUAAUACCGGAUACGACCUCUACGGGCAUCCAACGAGGUGGAAAGUUUUUCGGCUGAGGAUGGGCCCGCGGCCUAUCAGCUAGUUGGUGGGGUGAUGGCCUACCAAGGCGACGACGGGUAGCCGGCCUGAGAGGGUGACCGGCCACACUGGGACUGAGACACGGCCCAGACUCCUACGGGAGGCAGCAGUGGGGGAAUUUU